rnacentral:rRNA from 1 species
CAUAGCUUGAGGUAAUAAUCUCAAGUCACUACUGCUCCAUGUUUCUUAUAUAAAUAGCCGUGGUAUAUAUGACCAUGCUAAGGUAGCAUAAUAAUUUGUCUAAUAAUUUUGGACUGGAAUGAAUGUAGCCACACGUACCAGGUGUCUCUAAAGGUUGUUUUACGAAUUUCCAGUGUAGGUGAAAAUGCCUACAAAUCAAAAAGGGACGAGAAGACCCUUAGAAUUUGCAUUCAAUUUCACUGGGGCGGUGAUAGCUAAUAAUCAGCUAAAUAUAGCACAAGCCGGCUUUAUCAAGUAUGAUAAAAUUACCUAAGGGAUAACAGCAUAAUUAUAAAAAUUAGAUUGUGACCUCGAUGUUGGACUAGGGAACUCUAAGGCCAGAAGUUUUAGAGGUAGGUUCUGUUCGAACUUUAUCCCCUACGUGAU